CCACUUUUACAGCAAAGAAAAUGGAUUGAGAAGGCGAAUACUUUUGUGUUACUUACGGUCUCAAUCAGCAGGAGGUCUCCAUGUGAUAUGACACCUGAAGGCCCUUGCCAACUAAUUCUCCAAUUAUCAAGUGUUCUAUAAGACAAGUAAUUGCAGGAGGACAUCUCUUGAAGAACAACAAAAGACAGAAGUGAAUAUGUGCGUGGAAAAAGAUUCAAGACAAG